CUCGGGUUCGGGAUGAAGUGGUUGACGACCCCGCCGAACACCGCCAGGGUGCGAUUGCCGUCCUGCACCAUCUGGACACCGCGGCUGCGGAAUUCCUU
rnacentral:sRNA from 21 species